rnacentral:rRNA from 1 species
GCCUUCACCAGACCAUUCUUUUAAAAAUACACACAUUUUUGGGCCCAGUUAGUACUUGGAUGGGAGACCACCUGUGAAUACUGGGUGCUGUAGGCU